UCAGACCAUAUAAUCAUUACCAACAGCUGUUCAAAUACAGAAUCUCAUACGAACAAAGUACCUAUCUUAAAGCUGAAAUCUCAUACUAAAGAGAUGUAUUAGCUAGAGUCCCCGACAGUCCCAAAUUAUAACAGUCCAUAACUGAUACUAGUGCUAAGUACGACUUGAAGGUCACUCACACAAGUUCAAAAAUAAGUAAUAAAAAUAAAACAAAACUAAUUAGCAUCUACAUCUAAAGUCCAGUUACAAAGCAUGGAAAUAGUAAAGAAAACAAGGAAAUUAGCUUCAAAUGCAGCCUUCAUUUCAAUGAACUUUCACUUAUAUUACAUGCUCAACAAUCAUUCUUCAAUCAUAGUUAGGAAAGUACCUGGAAAAUGUAAAGAUAAAUAGGGGUGAGCAAUCAACAAAUGCAACAUGAAUCAGCAGAGAAACAACAAAGAUGAACCCAGAUUCGGCAAUUUAGAACAAGGAGCUUAGCUCAAAUCAAAAAUUGUAAUAUUUGACCAGUUUGAACCCAAAAACUUUCAAAAAACCCAAUAUCAAUUCAUACUUAGUCUCAAAUGAACCAGAAAAUAUUUCAGAACUUGAAAAUCUCAGUAAUUAGUAAAGAGAUAAAUGAAAUAGUAGACAUUUUAUCGUUUGAAGUUUUUUAUCUGGAUAUUUUAG
rnacentral:lncRNA from 1 species